ACAUGUUUCCGCGCCUUUUGGCUAAAAUCAAGUGUUGCAUCUGUUCUUAUCAGUUAAAUAUCUGAUGCACCCCCAUAUCUGGGGGGACCGAUAUUACAUGGAUUUUUAGAACAGGGAGAUGGAAAAAGCUUGCUCUGGCUACUCCACACAUUGACCUGGUAUUGCAGUACUUUACUUUUCUGACUGGUGCACCUUUC